AAGUUCGAAACGAUGAAGCCCUUCGGGGGUGGAUUAKUGGCGAACGGGUGAGUAACACGUGGGCAAUCUGCCCUUCACUCUGGGACAAGCCCUGGAAACGGGGUCUAAUACCGGAUAACACUCCUGCCUGCAUGGGUGGGGGUUAAAAGCUCCGGCGGUGAAGGAUGAGCCCGCGGCCUWUCAKCUUGUUGGUGAGGUAGUGGCUCACCAAGGCGACGACGGGUAGCCGGCCUGAGAGGGCGACCGGCCACACUGGGACUGAGACACGGCCCAGACUCCUACGGGAGGCAGCAGUGGGGAAUAUUGCACAAUGGGCGAAAGCCUGAUGCAGCGACGCCGCGUGAGGGAUGACGGCCUUCGGGUUGUAAACCUCUUUCAGCAGGGAAGAAGCKAAAGUGACGGUACCUGCAGAAAGAAGCGCCGGCUAACUACGUGCCAGCAUUCGCGGUAAUACGUAUGGCGCAUGCGUUGUCCGGAAUUAUUGGG
rnacentral:rRNA from 1 species